rnacentral:rRNA from 1 species
GACGAACCGUGCGAACGUUGUUCGGAAUCACUGGGCGUAAAGCGCACGUAGGCGGAUCUUUAAGUCAGGGGUGAAAUCCCAAGGCUCAACCUUGGAACUGCCUUUGAUACUGGGGAUCUCGAGUCCGGAAGAGGUGAGUGGAACUGCGAGUGUAGAGGUGAAAUUCGUAGAUAUUCGCAAGAACACCAGUGGCGAAGGCGGCUCACUGGUCCGGUACUGACGCUGAGGUGCGAAAGCGUGGGGAGCAAACAGG